UAGAUGGGUUAUUUUUUUAACCCAAUAGAUGGGUUACACAUAUUGGGUCACUGUGUUGGGUUAUUUUCUAAAACGUUGGGUUAUUUUUUUAAACAUCGUUGGGUUGUUUUUAAUAAUAACCCAGCGUUGGGUUUAAUUGGUUCCCGCCGCGACAGUUCAAAUUUUAACGGUCGACGGUGUCUGACGACAGAAGAAGCUGCUGCUGCAUCAGUGUGAGACAUUGGGUGAAGGGACAACUACAACAGUGGAAUCUCAUACAUUAAACAUCCACAUGCCAAUUAACUGAAAUAUUUCAAGAGGAAGGAGUCAAUGAAGGAAGUUUUAUGCAACCGGAUGACACCAGCAUUGCUGCACUAACUCUAAGAACUCCUCCCAAGUUUUGAGCAUUUUCAACGGUGAAGCAGUGGAACAGAAGACCUUACUACAAGCAGUGGAUCUGUGUUUCAAACAUUUCUACAUGUAUGACAUCAACUACCCAAAGCCCCCUGCACUCAUUUGCAGCUUUAAUAUUCCAGGAGUUCCUUCAACACGUUACCUCUUCCUUAGAAACUUUGUAUUUAUUGAUCAGUAAAAACUUUUUAUGUUGCUGAUUAUCAGCAAGUCCAGCAGCCAGCAGAUUUACUUAGUUUUAUUUUUAUUAUUGUUAUUAUUAUUAUUAUUAUGAUUAUUAUUACUUGUGUUUAUGAUUUUUUAUUUUUGUUUUAUUGAUAAAGGUUUGUAUGUUAUGUUUGUUUUAUUUUUGCACAUUUGUAUGUGUUGAUAUAAAUAAAUAUGAAUUGAUACACAUUUAUGACCCUGGACAACAAAACCAGUCAUAAGUAUUAUGGGUACAUUUGCAGAAAUAGCCAAAAUUGCAUUGCAUGGGUCAAAAUUAUCAAAUUUUCUUUCAUGCCAAAAAUCAUUAGAACAUUAAGUAAAGAUCAUGUUCCAUGAAGAUAUCUCCUACCAUAAGUAUAUCGAAACUGAAUGUAUUGCUAAUGUAUUGCUAUGUAUUGCUAAUAACUUUGCAAUUUUCUCAAUAUUUAGAUUUUUUUGCACCCUCAGAUUCCAGAUUUUCAAAUAGUUGUUCUAUCCUAUCAAACCACAUAUUAAUAGAAAGCUUAUUUAUUGAGCUUUC